AGAUCUCUCUCUCUGCGGAAGCCAGCCACCGCUCUCCAAGGACUCUCGAGCAGCUCCAUCUACAGAUUCACAUGGAGAAGAAUUAAGGGUUCCUGCCAAUCACCAGCACCACUUUGCCAGCCUUGUAAGUGGGCCACCUUGGAAUUGGAGCCUCCAGUUCCUACUGACAUCUGACUGCAACAUCAUGAGAGACCCUGAGUUUGAACCACCCAGCUGAGCUGCUUCUGAGCUAACCCACUGAAACCACAGUUGGCAUCUGUGUGAAGAUGUGAAUGGAGGAGGCAGAGUAGGCAGUGAGUGCCGCAGCCACAGCUUGUGUUCUCUGCAGCCCUGGCACAGAAGAUAGGAACACUCAUGGGGGAUGCGGCCACUGUGAUGUCUUCCCACACAAGAAGUGCCAAGUGCUUUUCUCAUGCUUUUCUGGAUUGUCCCAUGGUGGACGAGUCAGCAGGAGUGAGAUGGAGCAGCACAGUAGAGGGCACCUGCUCUGUUUUGUCCCAGGCCAGGAUAUCGUUGUACAUAUUCUCAGCUAAGUGAGCACCAAUAGAGGAGAGGGAGAGUCUCAUGGAAGUUCCUUCUAAGCCUUUGGCUCUUUUUACCUUCAACAAGGUGUGCCACCUCUUUGAUCCAGCAAGUGGGAAGAACAGUCCCGGCCUCUUUGCACACAAGACCGUGAUACCAAUGCACCAUCACAGGCCCCACAGGGGAGCUGUCCGCUUCCCCACACAGCUGCUAGGGGCUCUUUUGCAUGUUCCCAACCUUUCCUGCCUUUAUCUGAUAUUCGUUCCUUAGAUCCUGGGAUGAGGAGGUGGACCAGCAGAAGGUGGGCUUGUGAAGGCAGCCCGGGGUCCAAAUCCUCCUGGCUCUUCAGCUUAGCGGGUUAGUUAACAUUCAGAAGCCUUCAUCUCCCAUCUGCAAAAUGGGCAUGUCCAACUCAGAAGCUGCCUUGAAGAAAGGGUCUACCCAGCAUGGUGCGUGGAGCCUAAGCAGUCAGUACUUCAGGACUUCACCCGGCCCCUUUCCAAUAACUGCUGCUGUCGCCCUCACAGGAUGUCACCUUCAGCGUCUGAAAGCUGGGUUUGAUGCGUCUGGAAAGGCGUCCCUGACAGGCGUCGUUGCCAGGAGCCCCUAGUGCCACCAGCAGCCAGCAGGGGAGGGCGUCCUCUGCCCGCUCACUUCUGACCCUUCUCUCGUUGCACCCGGAACAUGGUGCAGCUGGGAGCAGCCUGGGCUGCGCGGAAGGCUCAGAUUUGGGGACGGCCCUUGCCAGUGACUGUGAGCUGGGGUGUCUUGGAAACUCCCAGUCUCAGCUUCUCCAUUUAUAAGAUGAGAAUGAUCAUACCAGACUCAGGCAAGGUUGUUUGUGCAUUAGUGAAAUCAGACGUAUUAAAUAAAGUACCACAUUGAUCGUGGAGUUGUUGAAUAACCAAGAA
rnacentral:lncRNA from 1 species